rnacentral:rRNA from 1 species
GAUCCUGGCUCAGGACGAACGCUGGCGGCGUGCCUAAUACAUGCAAGUAGAACGCUGAAGGAGGAGCUUGCUUCUCCGGAUGAGUUGCGAACGGGUGAGUAACGCGUAGGUAACCUGCCUGGUAGCGGGGGAUAACUAUUGGAAACGAUAGCUAAUACCGCCAUAAUAGUAGAUGUUGUCAUGACAUUUGUCUUAAAAGGUUAAGGUCGAAUUAGUCAUCACUACCACGAAUGGACGUCGCGUUGUUA